rnacentral:rRNA from 1 species
AUUGAACGCUGGCGGCAGGCCUAACACAUGCAAGUCGAGCGAGCGUCGGGCGGGUGAGUAAUGCAUGGGAAUUGCCCCGUCGAGGGGGAUAAAAGUUGGAAACGACUGCUCAUCACGCAUCAGCUUGUAUUGCCGAGGUUGGAUUAGCUAGUUGGUGAGGUAAUGGCUCACCAAGGCGACGAUCCCUAGCUGGUCUGAGAGGAUGAUCAGCCACACUGGAACUGAGACACGGUCCAGACGCCGACGGGAGGCAGCAGUGGGGAAUAUUGCACAAUGGGGGAAACCCUGAUGCAGCCAUGCCGCGUGUGUGAAGAAGGCCUUCGGGUUGUAAAGCACUGUCAGCGAGGAGGCGUUACUCGCAGAAGAAGCACCGGCUAACUCCGUGCCAGCAGCCGCGGUAAUAC